GACAUUCCUGACAGAGACACACCCAAGGGAGAGUGGCCUGAGGCAUCACUCCACAGAAGAGGAAGCUGAGGCAGAACGAGGCUGAGGGACUUCCCACCCGGGGUCUCAGAACCAGGUUCUGACAGGCCCUUGAGGACUGAGAGGCCGGCCCAUCUCCUAGAAGGCCUCUUCCUCUGCCCUGAGAAACCCUACCCCACUUCCCCAGCUGUGCCUGUCUGCAGGAAUAAACAUCACUGAGAGAUGUUUAGUCUCCUGCUGUGAUUUACAAUGUGCCUAGAGCGGAAAUUAUGCUCCUUCCAACUCAGGGGUGCAGGGACAGAACCUCACCCAGCCCAUGGGAUCCCCAUUCUGUACAGGAAGGAGUGAGGUGGGAGCCUGGGGUGGCCAGAUGGCACAGGAAUCGCUGUGGGACACACAGCACUGCAAGGAGCCAAGGCCUGAGUCUUGAACCAUCUCUGAUCCAGGACUGGAGGCACCUGGAUGCAGGCCCCUGGGCUUAUACCACAUACAGGGGUAGCAGGCAGAAGAAGCGCUGGGGAAGUCACUCUGAGGCUGUUGAAGUGUGUAUGACUAUGGCCAAAGUCACCUUGGCACUGGUGAAACUCUGUUUCUUGGAUGGGGAAUGUUUGUAAAUCUAAAACAGGUUAUGUUCAAACUUGGCCCCUGACAUGGGGUUGAUGCCCACCCAGAGGGUGCUGCUGCCAUCACCAUGAGACAGUGGCUCCACUGGGGUGAGGGUGGGUGCGGCCCAGACACCCUGCAGAGGCCGCCAGCUUCCUACCUAGCUGCAUUGCAAUGUACCCUGACUGACUGGGUCCCAGAAAAGCCACUCAAGGGAGAAAUGAGUACCUGACCUUACACCCCUAUGGGUAAGGAGUUUCCCUCCCCCUAACCACUUUCUUCCUGCCUGACAUCCAAGUGAGCUUCCUUUCAUCUAGUAACUGCACCGCUUCCUCUUUUGCCUUGGCCACCUGGAGGCUCAGGGCUCAGGUCAGCCCUCAGCUGUCCUGGUUUAGAAACAGCAGCUCUGCCCUUGGCUCAGGCUCUCUUCUCUCUCAUUUUGAUUGCAGCUACCCUAUGACCAUGCUGGGAGCCCUGUGCCCAGCUCACCUGGUGAAGCGACUGGGGUGGGUUAUAAACCAAAGCUGACUGAGGUAAGGAACCACUGUGGUGAAUAUUUUAUCAGCAUGACCGCUGAAGCCUGGAUUCCCAUUCUGCUUCUGCUGCUCACUAGCUGUGUGAACAUGGGUAUCUGUUUCAUCAGACCUCACCCAGCAGAAGUGGGAAGGAAGGGUGCUCACUCACCUUGCCAGCAUUGAAGUAGAAGAGGACCCCUACAGUCACCUGUGCAAUGAGGAUGAGCAGAAGGAACACAAAGUACUAGGGACAAAGAGGUACAGAGUUAGCUAUGGGCCCAGGGAUGCCUAGCCCCAUCCCAGGAAGAACUCCCCACCUGGAGAUCCGACCCCCACAGGCUCAGGACCCGCACUCACCAGCCCCAGCAAGCAGCGGACCUCAUUGACAGCACCGAUGCAGCCCAGGAGCCCCAUGAGCAUGGUGAUGGCACCCACACCGAUGAAGACAUAGGCCCCAACCUGCAGCGAGCUGGACGAAGUUUCUGAAGGAGAAGGGCAUCCGCCCAGUGAGCCAUGAGCCACAGGGUAAAGGCGGUCUGAGUCCAGGACUACUGCCUGACUCUCGGGAGCCGGGAUGGGGGCAGCCAUGUUUCCACUGGCUCCUGGUCCUGGGUACAGCUGCACUCCACUCUCAUCCAGCCAAAGGUUGUUUUUCCUCCUUAUUGAUCUCUACACCUCACACUGAUUUCCCCUGAACCCUGAGACUCUGAAAGCAGAAGGAUGGGGCUGAGGGUUGUAUUUCCUGGGAGGCCUGCCAUUUGGAAGAGCAUGUAGGUCAGGAGGCAGACACCACAGAGGCUCUGUUGAGGACCCUGAAGACUUGCAGAUGCCCAUGCUGGCCAGGACCAUGGUGCUGGGACAGGCUGGAGGGUGGGAAGAUGCCAGCUAGUGCAGGGGUCUAGUAUGCUUGUAGGUAGCAGAAGGUAAAGCAGGUACAGAGGGGAGAUCAGGGAGUUCAGCAUGUCUGGGAAGGCUGGGCCUGUGGGGGAAAUGGGGACCUACCAGGGUAUGGCACUGGGGAGCUGGACAGACCUCAUAAGGGAAGGUGGGGCCUGUGGUCAGAGGAUGGAGGGCAGAAGUAACAGGGAGACUCUGUGUUUUCUUUUGUUUCUUUUGAGAUAGAAUCUCUCUGUGUAGCCUUGGCUGUCCUGGAACUCACCAUAUAGACCAGGCUGGACUCCAACUCACAGAUAUCAGCCUGCCUCUGCUGGGAUUAAAGGGGUGUCACCAUGCUCAGCACAAUGGGGGAUUUUUUUGUUUGUUUUGUUUUGUUUGAAAUAAGGUCUUGCUACAGCCGAGGCUUAAACUGAUCAUUCUGCCUCUGAGAGCUGGCAUGCCACCAUGAGACCCAGAUUCAUACAAGGCCAAGGUCUGCUGGAGGGAGAAGGAAUCCUUCAUAUGGUCCUCUAGGGGUGAGGCACAGCCAGGGCCAACUCAGGCCCUCCAGCAAGAGUGACAUAGACCCACUUGGUCAUUCUUACUGUUUGCUCGCCAAGAUGCUGGCUGUGGGGUGGGGUGGCAGGGCCGGGGUUGGGGGUGAUCUUAUGAUCUUAUGUAAUGUCCCAGAGCUCAGGAAAACCCAGGCCUACUCUCCUUGCUGCCAUGGUCCUGGGGCCAACUUUCCAACUCCACUCAGAGCCCCCAGAAGCUUGGGAAAGUCCCCUGGGGUGCGUGAGAACUCCCAGAGUCAAGUUCCUCACACUGGCCCCACAUUCUGGGGGUCACAGAGAUGGGGAGAAGCUAGCAGCUCCCCAGUCUGGGUUCCAGGAGACAGGCUGGCUGGGACAAGAAGGGUGCCAUGCACCAACCCUGAGCAAGGCCCUUGGACUAACACCCUUUGUACACACAGCACUGUCUGGGGAGGUAGAAUUCACACCCAGGUCUCUCUAGAAGCUUCCCUGAAGCUCAGGAAAGCUGAGGUACAUGGAGCUAGCCCUGUGAGACUCCAAGACCUGUUGUCCCCACUUAGUCUCUGUCUUCCUGAAUCUGAGCAGCCUGGCUGGCUUGGCAACUAUCCUAUCCUAGGGUGACCCCUGCCCUGUGUACAGCAGGAGAGUGUAUCUGACUCAGCGAGCAAGGGACCAGGAAGGUAGAGAGCAGGCCAUACAAACUGAAGGGACUAGGCACCCAUUCAGGUGACCAAUCUUUGCCAGCAUGCCACAACCUGUGGCAAAGCACUUCCUCCUUCCUCCUCUGAAACAUGGGACUUUGUGCAGUGUCUCAUGGUCAUAAGGACUAAACUGUAGUACACAACCCACUCAAAGCGGUCCUAAAGGCUUCAAUAGAAAGGACAGAUCUUUCUGGUAGGCUUGUUUCAGACAGGGUCUCAUGGAGCUCAGGCUGGCCUCAAACUUUCUCUGUAGCAGAGGACAGUCUUGAACUUCUGAUCCUCCCAAGUGCUGAGACUGAAGGUGUGUAAUCUCCAUGCCCCACUUUAGAAUGAGACUCUUAAGUUCUCACAGUCUCAUGAGGUACACUGCUGUCAUUCCUUUUUUGUAGAUGAAGCAGUACAGAGAGGUAAAGUAACUUGCCAAGACCACACAGCUGGUAGCCAACAGAUCUGUAAUGACUGACCCCCCACCCUACCCGCAGAUUCAGGAUUCCUCUUAACCCUGCCUGCCUGCUUUCUCUUCUGAAGAUCCCACCCUGAGGGACAUGACAGUCACAUGGUGCAAGGGCCAGGGCAAGGCUGCCAUCCCCACCCCCUUACUUUCUGUUUGUGUACCCUCAGGCAUGUUACCCCUCCUCCUUGUGCUUAGGAUUUUUUUCCUCUGUAAAAGGAGACCACGGGGAGAGUGGAACACAGUACCAGGGAAUCAGAGCAAGGGGGCGCCUAGGUAAGGGACAGCCAUGUCAUACAGCAAGUCAGGAGCCCUAAGUCCCCAUUUUGACACUCCCUUGUAAGCAAAGCCUCCACCAGCCUCAGUUUCUCCAAAUGCCUGGGCUCCUAGAUCAGGGUUUCUUUUCUUUGUAUUUUGCCCUAGAUUUUUGUUUUUUGUUUUGUUUUGUUUUUUGAAGUAAGGUUUCACCCUAUAGCCUACACUGCCCUAAAUAGCACAGCAGUCUGCCUGUCCCAGCCACACAGAUCAGUGUUUGUGGGCCCUGGCUACCUUGGAGCCCCUAGCAGUUAUAAACACAGAACAGCAGUAGGUGGGUGUGUGAUAGGUGUGACCUGGGUCUGGAAUUUACAGAGCUGUGGAGGGUCAGAGGCCUCUAAGGCUUGAUCACACAGGGCAGGAUGCAGGCAGGAAUGAGGUGGCCUGCAGACUUUGAACCCUGGCACAGUGCCUGCUGGGUGUGGUCUGGACCUAUUAAGCCAAACCAGGUCUAAGGAGAGCUUGUUCCUGUAGGUGGGCACUGGAGUGUGGGGGUGGGCACAGAAACCCUACCCAACCCUAACCCAGACAGUGACAGCUCACGGCAGGAUCAUCCCUGCUUUCUACUACUGAAGCAAGACCUGCCCCCUGGGAACCUGCGCAGCAGGUGUAGACCCUCCUCUCUAUGUCCCAGCCAGGUUCUGUCUCAUUUAAAUCAAACAGCUGUCAUAUUGGCCAGAGUCCGAUCCAGCUGCUUGGGACAGCUGCUGAAAGUGAAGAGGGCCAGGGCCUGCCAAUCACUGGGGAAAUGGCUGGCACAGAGUGCUCCUGGCAUGUUCCACCCCUCCCCACCCAGAACUGGGAAUGGCCAACACAGCCAGUCCUGAGGGCCUCCCAAGGGAGGAGGUGAGGAGUUUAGGCACUGUGUCCUAGGCCAGCCCAUGAUCACCUCUCCUUCUGAAGAAUAGAGGGGGCCUUGCAUGGAGGCUCACCCCACCCUGGGCUGUAUUCAGGACCAGAGCUCGUGGGGUUGGGUCUUGCAAAUCACCAUCAGGAGCUGUGUGAACCCCAGUCAGUGUCUUAAUGGCUGUGUCCCUUCAUUCUUCCGGUUAGAGCAGAACAGGGUGAUUGGGAUUAGGACCCUACAUGCACCCGACUGUCUGCCAUUCCUGGCUCCUUCCGAUGGCCUUCUGAAGUGGGAAUCGACAGCAACCUACUUUCACUGUGCAGUCAAACACAGGGACAGGGGACGUGAGAGGCUUUUCUGAGGGAAGAGAAUGAGUUCCUCCCCAGGCCAGUCACCCAUGGAUCUACAGACAAUGAUGGCUUUGUCUGUGAGCAGUAAUUUGUCCUAGAACCCUGGCAAGGGGCCCCUGUGCAGCAGUCAGCCACAGGAGCUGGCCAUGUCCCUGAGGGCAGCUGCACCCAUAUGUCCCUCCCCUCAAGGGCAGGCUGUCUGUGGGGCAGAGGAUGCCUUACGAAGGACAGAAACGAAGCUGCUCUUGUCUGCGAUGAUCCACACUCCAAAGCCCAGGAUCACAGCACCCAGAAUCUGCAAGGAGAGAAGCAGUCAGCGGAAGCCCAGAACAGGUAGGUCAGAAAGUGUUCCCUCACAGGCCAAGCAAGGGAGGGAAGGGUAGGAGGAUGCAUAGGUGUUUCCUCCAUCCAAGAAAGUCCAAGGUUUACACACACACACACACACACACACACACACACACACACACACACACACACACACACACACAGCUCCAACUGUGCCCUUCUUCCCAUGAGCUGAAAUUUCCAGAAAAACAAAACAAAACAAAACCACAAGUUGAAAUGCCUCCAAAUGUAAUUAAAGGAUGAGAACUAUGGUUGUGGAGAGCUGGAAUGUUACAGUUGAGAGCAAAUUACUUCGUCAUCUUUAGUCCUCUAAAUAGCCAUUUAUUGUACACCUUGUGUGUGAUCUAACACCCUUGUGACUUUUAGGGAAAUCUCUUUGGAGCACAUAAACACUAACUUCCACUAACCCAAACACUAAGAAUGUCAUCAGAUAGCAUCAGAAGCCUACAGCAGAGAUCCUCCACCCCUGAUUUGCUGUAACCCACCUACCAGAAUACCAAUGGCAUUUGGAAUACCAAUGUAUUUGAAAAGUUCUCUGAGCUCACUUCAUAUCAGUUGGCCCUGCCUGGCUCCCAAGGCUGUACCCUCAAAGUUCUAUGUGCAGGAGCCCUGAAUACCAAACCUGACUGGAUGAAAGGUGGGCUGACCUCAGGCACCAUGGCCUUCCUGUGAGUCUACGUCAAAUAACUUAAAGAUGAUGUGUCAGAGUGCAGAGGAAGAAAUGGAUUGGAAUGAAGUUUGGACAUCUGUCCCAGUUAGCACUGUCACCUUGACUCAGCCUAGAGUCAUCUGAAAGGAAAACUCCAUUGGAGGAAUUGCCUAGAUCAAACUGGCCUGUGAGCACUGAUGUGAGGCUUGGUCAUUAAUUGAUGUAGGAGAGCUCUGCCCACUGUGGGCAGCACCAUUCCCCAGGCAGUGUAUAAGAAAACUAGUAGAUCCAGGUGUUGGUGGCUCACGCCUUUAAUCCCAGCACUUGGGAGGCAGAGGCAGGCAGAUCUCUGUGAGCUCAAGGCCAGCCUGGUCUACAGAGUGAGUUCCAGGACAACCUCCGGAGCAAUACAGCAAAACCCUGUCUCAAAAAACAAAAUAAUAAUAAUAAUAAUAAUAAUAAUAAUAAUAAUAAUAAUAAUAAUAAUUUUUUUUAAAAGCUAGUGGAGCAUGAUCCUCUGAGUAAGCCAGCAAGCAGCAAAUCUACAGUUUCUACUUCAGGUUCUUGCCUUGAGUUUGUGCCCUGAAUUCCCUCAAUGAUGGACUGUGACCUAGCAGUGUAAGGCAAAAUAUCCCAACCACCACCACCACCACAUUGCUUUUGGUCAUCGUUGUUAUCAUAAAGAGUUGCAUAAAGCAAACUAACAUUCCAUCCUAAUAUAGCAUGUUCCACAUAAUGACCACGGCUGCUCAUCUAGAUCUGCCAGUCUGUUGAGUUGUGAACAUUCUAGAAAAUUUCUCUAUGAAUAUAUAUCAAAUCAGA